rnacentral:misc_RNA from 1 species
GAUGAAGAACGCAGCGAAAUGCGAUAAGUAAUGCGAAUUGCAGAAUUCAGUGAAUCAUCGAAUCUUUGAACGCACAUUGCGCCCCUUGGUAUUCCGAGGGGCAUGCCUGUUCGAGCGUCAUUAUAACCCCUCAAGCUUAGCUUGGUGUUGGGGCCUGCUGUAAUAGAGCAGCCCUUAAAAUCAGUGGCGGUGCCAUUAGGCUCUAAGCGUAGUAAUUCUUCUCGCUAUAGGGUUCUGGUGGAUGCUUGCCAUUAACCUCUAAUUUUCUAUGGUUGACCUCGGAUCAGGUAGGGAUACCCGCUGAACUUAAGCAUAUCAAUAAGCGGAGGA